rnacentral:rRNA from 1 species
GACGAACGCUGGCGGCGUGCCUAAUACAUGCAAGUCGAGCGAGACUCUUCGGAGUCUAGCGGCGGACGGGUGAGUAACACGUGGGCAACCUGCCUGUAAGACUGGGAUAACACCGGGAAACCGGUGCUAAUACCGGAUAAUCCUUUACCUCUCAUGAGGAAAAGCUGAAAGUCGGUUUCGGCUGACACUUACAGAUGGGACCGCGGCGCAUUAGCUAGUUGGUGAGGUAACGGCUCACCAAGGCGACGAUGCGUAGCCGACCUGAGAGGGGGAUCGGCCACACUGGGACUGAGACACGGCCCAGACUCCUACGGGAGGCAGCAGUAGGGAAUCUUCCACAAUGGACGAAAGUCUGAUGGAGCAACGCCGCGUGAGCGAUGAAGGCCUUCGGGUCGUAAAGCUCUGUUGUUAGGGAAGAACAAGUACCGGAGUAACUGCCGGCACCUUGACGGUACCUAACCAGAAAGCCACGGCUAACUACGUGCCAGCCGCCGCCGUAACAC